AACCUAAGGUCUUCCAAAAGUGGAACAAGUGUUAGAAGUUCGUUCGAUUGAUUCAAUAUCGAUGAACCUAGAAAAGAGGAUUGAGGGUUGGAACGAGCGCAUAGCAAAAAUUCUUGGAAUUCCUUGGGGAUUCUUGAUUGGUGCUGAGUUAACUAUAGUACAAAGUCGUAUCUCUUUGGUUAAUAAGAUCCAAAAAGUUUA